rnacentral:sRNA from 1 species
GAUUGGUGAACCAACCAAUUCCAAUGUUGUAGUACCCAACGGCGACCUUACACCAGUGGACGGAUCUGUUAGACCUGCAGUCGGCGGAAGAGCGGUUAGAGGAGGAAUCUUUG